UACCAGUCGGAUAGCUCGGAACCGGUAAUACCUGAUAUGUGCUCGCAUCAAAGCUUGCCGCCUUGGGAGCGGGGAACGUCCUAUCAGGUUGUUGGUGAGGUAACNGCUCACCAAGCCGAAGACGGGUAGCGGGUGUGAGAGCAUGACCCGCCGCAUCGGGACUGAGACACUGCCCGGACUCCUACGGGAGGCUGCAGUAACGAAUAUUCCGCAAUGCGCGAAAGCGUGACGGGGCAAUGCCGCGUGUGGGAUGAAGCCNUUCGGGGUGUAAACCACUGUCAGAAUUCAGGAACACAAUGACCAGAUUCAAAG
rnacentral:rRNA from 1 species